rnacentral:rRNA from 1 species
CACGUAGGGUGCAAGCGUUGUCCGGAAUUAUUGGGCGUAAAGGGCUCGUAGGCGGCCUGUUGCGUCUGCUGUGAAAGCCCGGGGCUUAACCCCGGGUCUGCAGUGGAUACGGGCAGGCUAGAGUUCGGCAGGGGAGACUGGAAUUCCUGGUGUAGCGGUGAAAUGCGCAGAUAUCAGGAGGAACACCGGUGGCGAAGGCGGGUCUCUGGGCCGAUACUGACGCUGAGGAGCGAAGGCGUGGGGAGCGAACGGG